GUAAGCGGACGAAGAAAGGGGGCGGAGCAAGUCGUUAGCGGCUCUGGGGAAGGAAACCGUUGAGUGGGAGGAGGGGCAGGUGAUGGAGGAGGAGGGGGUUGCUUUCCCCGGCUCUAUUUUCUUCUUUCUCCUUCGGUGAGAGAACCCAAACGCAGCAGGAAACAACUGACAUUCAGCAUUGCCCAGUCUUCCUGCACUUGGGAGGAAACAAAUUGACAAUUGGACAGACGCGAUCAUCUGGCUAUGACCCAUCUGUGCAUGAUGGUAAUACACCACACAUCCAGCCACCAUUUCCUAAGGAGAGGGACAAAGAUAACUAAGUAUGAGAAUGCUAUUAACAUAGCUAUGUAGCUGGUUAGCAGAAACUUCAGUCUCUUUCCCAAGAAUGGCUUCCAACAAGGCAUCAUGAAUAAAAACAUACUGCUCCUAGAAUGGCAGGAAGCAAAUAAAGAAUGAAGAAGCAAGCCCAUACAUACUGUCUAUAACAAUGUAGGUACCAGUCCUGCCAACACCAGCGCUGACAAAACAGAAGUUUCAAGAGAAAGGCUAGUUAAACACUAAUAAAGAAUUGCAGCACCAUGCUAAUAUUGAUAUACAGUAUACGCUUCUUUACAUCCACAAAGUCUUGCUCUUUAGAAUUUUCUAUAAUAUGCAAUGGCCAACUUUCACUUUGCUUGUAAUUGCUGGGAUCUUAGGUGCUUCUUUGAAUCCUUGCACAAGGAACCUUAGCUCCCAGUGAAUGCAGCUUCUGGGCCAAAAAAAAGGUUGGCCAGUCUUGCUCAGCAUUUAAAGACAGGUCAGCUGGUAAGAUUCAUUUUCAGCUGGUGAUACUCUCUAGGUUUGAGAGAAACAAGACUAUGUGCGACUUGAGCCGGGGUGGUGUAGCGGUUAGUGUGUUGGACAAGGACCUGGGAAACUGGGG